UGCCAGCAGCCGCGGUAAUACAGAGGGUGCGAGCGUUAAUCGGAUUUACUGGGCGUAAAGCGUGCGUAGGCGGCUAAUUGAGUCGGAUGUGAAAUCCCCGAGCUUAACUUGGGAAUUGCAUUCGAUACUGGUUAGCUAGAGUGUGGGAGAGGAUGGUAGAAUUCCAGGUGUAGCGGUGAAAUGCGUAGAGAUCUGGAGGAAUACCGAUGGCGAAGGCAGCCAUCUGGCCUAACACUGACGCUGAGGUACGAAAGCAUGGGGAGCAAACAGGAUUAGAUA
rnacentral:rRNA from 1 species